GCGAGGCCCUGAAUCUUUGGGGCUUUCCAUCGAGAGGUGGAUCGAAUAAUCGGGUGAAUUCGGGGAACAGCCGCAGGGCGGCCAAUCCCGAGCCAAGUUCCGACGGGCUCUGGUGUCGGAAAAGGUGUAGAGACUAGCGAGUGAGUCCCAACAAUAAUCUUGCAAACAGCGCCCGACCUCCCUAUGGGAGGAUGAUAUAGUCCAAAAUGGCUUCGGAAGAGGCCU
rnacentral:ncRNA from 1 species